rnacentral:misc_RNA from 1 species
AGCAGCCGCGGUAAUUCCAGCUCCAAUAGCGUAUAUUAAAGUUGUUGCAGUUAAAAAGCUCGUAGUUGAAUUUCGGGAUUGGCGCAUCGGUCGUGCCUCACGGGGUAUGAACUGGUGCAGUCAAUUUCUCACCUUCUGGAGAACCGCGAUGUCCUUAAUUGGAUGCCGCGGGGAACCAGGACCUUUACUUUGAAAAAUUAGAGUGUUUAAAGCAGGCAUUUUUGCUUGAAUACAUUAGCAUGGAAUAAUAAAAUAGGACGGCAUGGUUCUAUUUUGUUGGUUUCUAGGACCACCGUAAUGAUUAAUAGGGAUAGUUGGGGGCAUUAGUAUUCAAUUGUCAGAGGUGAAAUUCUUGGAUUUAUUGAAGACUAACUACUGCGAAAGCAUUUGCCAAGGAUGUUUUCAUUAAUCAAGAACGAAAGUUAGGGGGAUCGAAGACGAUCAGAUACCGUCGUAGUCUUAACCAUAAACUAUGCCGACUAGGAAUCAGACGAUGUUAAUUUUUAAUGACUCGUUUAGG